UAGGGAAUCUUCGGCAAUGGACGAAAGUCUGACCGAGCAACGCCGCGUGAGGGAAGAAGGUUUUCGGAUCGUAAAACUCUGUUGUUAGAGAAGAACAAGGACGUUAGUAACUGAACGUCCCCUGACGGUAUCUAACCAGAAAGCCACGGCUAAUUACGUGCCAGCAGCCGCGGUAAUACGUAGGUGGCAAGCGUUGUCCGGAUUUAUUGGGCGUAAAGCGAGCGCAGGCGGUUUCUUAAGUCUGAUGUGAAAGCCCCCGGCUCAACCGGGGAGGGUCAUUGGAAACUGGGAGACUUGAGUGCAGAAGAGGAGAGUGGAAUUCCAUGUGUAGCGGUGAAAUGCGUAGAUAUAUGGAGGAACACCAGUGGCGAAGGCGGCUCUCUGGUCUGUAACUGACGCUGAGGCUCGAAAGCGUGGGGAGCAAACAGG
rnacentral:rRNA from 1 species